rnacentral:tmRNA from 3 species
GGGGCUGAAUUGAUUCGACAGAAGUUCUUUGACAAAUACUGCAAGCCCGAUUAGCCUAUUCUCUCGGUUACAAAGAAAAGGCAAAUCAUAAAUGCCAAAUCUUUGGUAAGCAGAUUCGUGAAUGCUUUUGCGUUCGCGCCUGCUAUGUCAGUCGCCUAAUAAGUGACUGGCCAUCGGCUCUGUUUCGUCUGCAAACAGAAUCACCGGUGUUAUAUUGCAGACUUACAAAUAGCGCCGCUCGACGCUAUCUGGGCACCUAAGAGCAACCUUAAGCUGUUUUGGCCCCGCUUUUAUAGCUUAAGUAAUCAAGCGGGAAUAAGCUUGUAGACGUAUUUGCCCAAAACCUCUGGACGGGAGCUCACUACUCCCCAGCUCCACCA